AGGAGGCCAAUGGUGCCAUGUGAUACUCGUGAGUAAGCUGUUGUUAUAAUGAACCACUGGGUAUAAGAUUUCCUAUAUAAAAGACUCUGAUCCUUACUGUCAAGUAAUACUCAACAUAAACACACCUGCUAGAAAGUUGAGCUCUCUGUAAGCAAGGACUGAACCAUGGGAUCCCUUAAGCUUACCCUCUCUGUGCUUGUGCUUGCCUGCUACGUUGCACAGGCAUUGAAGUGUAACAUCUGCCUAUACAACUCUGCCUGUGGGGAUCCUAGAGAGUGCACCUCUGUGGAAGACAAGUGUAUAAAGAUUGUCAUGAAUGAUACAAUUAUCAUUCGACGCUGUGCCAAAUCAAAUGAAUGCCCACAGGAGAAAAAACUGGAGGGCUUGGUGACAAAAACCUGCUGCGACACUGACUUCUGCAACUGAGCUGAGAAGAUUGCCACCUGCAGGCACAGAUGUGUUGUCUGAAUGUGAUUCUUGCAAUAUUCCUCAUUCAAAAAUACAUUGUUUAGUAAAUGUAUUUGUGUUGAUAAUUGUAGCUUUUGAUUGUUCAUGUCAGCAAACAGAUUUUUGCAAAUGUAUGAAUAAAAUAUAGGUCAAUACAGUCCAACUAUGCAAAAGCUAGAAUAAAGCACACCUUUGCAAAAUCUAUUAAACACAUACUUUGUGUUUGUGCACAUCAAGGAAUGGUGUGUAACUACAGUUGGGUUCAAUACAAUUAUUUUAAUUCACACAUAAUGCUUAAUCAAUUGGGACACUAGGGCAGUUAGCUCUCCUGCAGAGCUUGAUCGAACCUGCCUUCAGUCAGUUAUCACAUUGCAUCUCCCCAGUAAUCUAAUAAAUUUCCACUAAUUAAGCACAUGAUUGAAAGCAAUGUUCCCACAUUGUCAUGUGCUGCUUCCAAUGUGUAGGACUGCAGACAUGUGUAAAAGAUGUUCAUAGUGUAGGGUGGUAAUUUUUCACAAAAAUUGUUAACAUUACUUAUAAUAGUGAAAUAGCUUGCUGCUGUGUUGGCUUCUAAAAAAUUAAAUACUAAAACAUAUGAUUAUGAAAUAAAAAUGUGAUUUUGUGAUCAAA